rnacentral:tRNA from 1 species
AGCCCCGGAGCCCUUUAGGGGCUCUUCUUCAAAUUUGCAUUUUGACGUAAGUCACUUCGGGGCUCU